CGACCCCAAAUUUUUGGAAUAAAGACUUAGUUGAGUUGAUGUUACUUUCACAGCCAUAUUGGCUGCAUAAACAGCCUGUUCAAUAAAAAGACACAAAUCUGGUAAUACUCAUUUGCCAUUCCUCAGAUUGCAUUUGAUAAAUUUUGUAUUAAUUGCAUUUUUAUAACCUGGUGGUUAUUAUGGCUUACUUGCUUCCAUUAAUAUUUAACUAGACUGCUAAUGCAUUAUGUGCUCACAGGAUAUCAGAUAAUUAGUGAAUCAAGACCUUUCUUUUUUUCCUUUUUCUAUAUAU
rnacentral:misc_RNA from 1 species